rnacentral:rRNA from 1 species
UACGUAGGGAGCGAGCGUUGUCCGGAAUUACUGGGCGUAAAGGGCGCGUAGGCGGUUGUUCAAGUCACAUGUGAAAUACCCGGGCUCAACUUGGGGGGUGCAUGUGAAACUGGAUAACUUGAGUGUGGUAGAGGAAAGUGGAAUUCCUAGUGUAGCGGUGAAAUGCGUAGAUAUUAGGAGGAACACCAGUGGCGAAGGCGACUUUCUGGGCCACAACUGACGCUGAGGCGCGAAAGCGUGGGGAGCAAAC